GCCGCGGUAGCUCAGUGGCAGAGCACAGCUCUGAAAAAGCUGGGGUCGUGAGUUCAAUUCUCACCCGCGGCA
rfam:Parcubacteria bacterium GW2011_GWB1_43_6 TV98_C0008, whole genome shotgun sequence.